UUUUUUAUGGCAUCUAUUGUUUCAUCCAUAGGGUGGAAAUGAGGGCAUACUUUUCAAACGGAAGGAGAUGGGGCAUUGGUUCUGUCCAUAGACUUACUUUUCAGUGGGAUGAAGACCGGGCAACUAGAUUGAGGGCAUGCUCACUACGCGCAACUGGAUUCGGGCUAUGAUUCUGGCACCAUCUCUACAGUCUGAUCUAAGAUGAAGGAAGCUUGUCUUCUUGGAUGUGUGGUUGAUUUAAACAGGACAUCGGUUUCUUUGUUUUGGUUUUAAUUAUUAAGUGGUUGCAUCAGUCUCACUGCAAAGAUAUUGGCAUGUCCAUCCAAUUCUACAAUCUGUAGCCAAAUAUUUUAUUGAAAAUUUUUAAUGAAAAUAAAAAUGUAAUUGAAUAUUUUUAUUAGUAAGAUGUAGAUAUUGACGUUGAA